rnacentral:misc_RNA from 1 species
GAAAUGCGAUACGUCAUGCGAAUUGCAGAAUUCAGUGAAUCAUCCAAUCUUUGAACGCAAAUUGCGCCCUCGGGUUCGUCCUAAGGGCACGCUUCUCUCAGUAUCGUUUUCCAUCCAACCUCAGUGUCGAGCGGGCUUAAGCUUCGGCUUCGGCUUCCGCUUCGACCACUGGAGAAUGAGAGUCGCUCUCCUGGUGAGUCUUCGGACCGCGUGGCAGAGCGUCUCUUGAAAUCGAGCUCCUGCUUGUCCUGAGAAGCAGUGCUGGGGUGUGCCUCAGCAGUGUCUCGCGCCUUCCUUGGGCUGUUCGGCUCAAGGACGUGAAUAAGAAGCAGAGUGGCCUCGGCUGCACUGUUCCCUUCCCACGUCACUCGAAGGCGCUCGGCCCUGCGUGCACCCAUUCCAAACAGUGCUCUUCACUCCAUCAGGCACAAGCGCAUGGGAGACUGGAAAUCUCGGAAGCGCCUUCGUGGUGCUCCCACCUCUUUUGAUCUGAGAUGAAGCGAGAUUACCCCCUGAAUUUAAGC